rnacentral:rRNA from 1 species
CGAAGGGGGCUAGCGUUGCUCGGAAUCACUGGGCGUAAAGCGCACGUAGGCGGAUCUUUAAGUCAGGGGUGAAAUCCUGGAGCUCAACUCCAGAACUGCCUUUGAUACUGGGGAUCUCGAGUCCGGGAGAGGUGAGUGGAACUGCGAGUGUAGAGGUGAAAUUCGUAGAUAUUCGCAAGAACACCAGUGGCGAAGGCGGCUCACUGGCCCGGUACUGACGCUGAGGUGCGAAAGCGUGGGGGGGCAAACAGGAUUAGAUACCCUGGUAGUCCACGCCGUAAACGAUAGAUGCUAGCCGUUGGCGGGUUUACUCGUCAGUGGCGCAGCUAAUGCAUUAAGCAUCCCGCCUGGGGAGUACGGUCGCAAGAUUA